AACAGCAGCCAUAUCACUCUGCAACUCAAGUACAACUGACAGCCCACUGAAGGUAAGCAAGUGUGAGACUGGUCAGUACCUGGAUUGGAGACUUCCAGGGAAAAACUAAGGUUGCUGCUGGAA
rnacentral:rRNA from 1 species